rnacentral:rRNA from 1 species
UACGUAGGGGGCAAGCGUUGUCCGGAAUCAUUGGGCGUAAAGAGCGCGUAGGCGGUCCGGUAAGUCCGCUCUGAAAGUCCGGGGCUCAACCCCGGGAGGCGGGCGGAUACUGUCGGGCUAGAGUCCGGAAGAGGCGAGUGGAAUUCCUGGUGUAGCGGUGAAAUGCGCAGAUAUCAGGAGGAACACCAAUGGCGAAGGCAGCUCGCUGGGACGGUACUGACGCUGAGGCGCGAAAGCGUGGGGAGUCAAA